AGCUAUGAUUCCCAGUUCGUUAAUCAAUAGAAGAUACCCACGGGUUACUUCCUUUCUACACAGGAACGGAACGAGUUGACCAGACCAUUCAACAUCCGAAGGACUCUUACCGCUAGAACGACCGAUGCCUGAUUCAUUUCUCGCUCACGACCCCUUAAGGUUUGCACUCAACAGAACGAGUUGACCAGACCAUUCAACAUCCGAAGGACUCUUACCACUAGAACGACCGAUGCCUGAUUCAUUUCUUGCUCACGACCCCUUAAGGUUUGCACUCACUCUCUUUCGAUAGAAAAAGGAAGAAAUUACCGGGAGUUGAAGAGUAAGAAAAGGUCUUCCCCUUAGGCCUUUAGACCUGACCAAGAGAAGUAAGACCGGUAGCCAAUAACUCAGAAAGAAAGGUCCCUCGAGCUUUCUUAGUAGUUAUACCUGACCAAGAGAAGUAAGACCCGUAGCCAAUAACUCAGGAAGAAUGGUCCCUCGAUCUUUCUUAGUAGUUAGACGAGUGCUCAGAUCAAGACCGAAAGACAUAUGGACUGCCUGGCCUGGAUCAAAAAGAAAGAGCACAAGCAGGAUUCCCUGCACCCGUGUGAGAGAUUACUUUGAAUCCAUACCGAAGAGAAUGGAAUACUUGAAAAGGUCUCCAUAGACAAAGAGACGAUCUAGACCGAAAGAGAGAAAAGACAUUAGGAGCACUCAUUCCUUGUACCCGGGGAACUGAUUCAUAAGGAAGGGGAUCUACACCAGAAAAGGAGUUUACGGCCGGUUCCCAUAUAGACACUUUAACUCACAUUGCUUUAGGCAGUACUCUUCUUACUAAAGAAGAAGACUUACUGAAAGAGGGAGCAAAUCCGUCACUUAGAAAAGGAGUUUACGGCUGGUUCCUUAUAGACACUUUAAAUCACAUUGCUUUAGGCAGUACUCUUCUUACUAAAGAAGAAGUCUUACUGAAAGAGGGAGCAAAUCCGUCACUGGACAAGGAAGAAAGGGCAAGGAAGAUCUGUACAAGAUAGAAAGUAGAUUAGAAAGCGUUAACAAGACUAUCAGACCAAGAACAGAACUGCGGGAGGAACAACUACCUAAGGCUUAAAAUGACAUAGAAUAAGUGGAAUCUCAUGCAAACUGUGAGGGAGGUGCUUAACCGGUGCUUAGAGAACUACCUGGGAUGCUUUACAAGCGAUAUUCCAAAGGAAUG
rnacentral:lncRNA from 1 species